GCAGAGUAGGUCUGGACGCGUUAAGUGCCGGUUGGACAGGGAGUUGCCAGCCAGACGAAAGAGGUACUUUACCUUCUGCGGUGUCCAGGCCGCAUCCCGCUGC
rnacentral:ncRNA from 1 species